rnacentral:rRNA from 1 species
CCUACGGGAGACAGCAGUGAGGAAUAUUGGUCAAUGGACGCAAGCCUGAACCAGCCAUGCCGCGUGCAGGAUGACGGCUCUAUGAGUUGUAAACUGCUUUUGUACGAGGGUAAACCCCGAUACGUGUAUCGGGUUGAAAGUACCGUAUGAAUAAGGACCGGCUAACUCCGUCGCAGCAGGCGCGGUUAAACGGAGGGUCCGAGCGUUAUCCGGAUUUAUUGGGGUUAAAGGGUGCGUAGGGGGUUAGAUAAGUUAGAGGUGAAAUGUCGGGGCUCAACCCCGGACCUGCCUUUAAAACUGUUGGGCUAGAGUGUAGGUGCGGUAGGCGGAAUGUAUGGUGUAGCGGUGAAAUGCUUAGAGAUCAUGCAGAACACCGAUUGCGAAGGCAGCUUACCGGACUAUAACUGACGUUGAGGCACGAAAGCGUGGGUAGCAAACAGGAUUAGAUACCCCAGUAGUC